GCAGUUGUUAGGAAGGGGUUGAACGAAGCUGCAGAGCAGAGUUGUGAGCCUACGGACAGAAAUAGCAUACAAGGCCAAGUCUCCGGGAAGUUAGCACAACAUAACGAAGCCCGGUAGCAAUUCAAAGGAUAUGGUCGGGAAAGCCCCGACAUAAG
rfam:Desulfobacterales bacterium C00003106 5579_contig_11310, whole genome shotgun sequence.